rnacentral:rRNA from 1 species
CAAUAGCGUAUAUUAAAGUUGUUGCGGUUAAAAGCUCGUAGUUGGAUUUCUGUUGAGGGCGUCCGGUCCGCACUUUGUGCGUGUAUCUGGUUCGGUCUUGGCAUCCUCUUGGGGAACGUUUCUGUGCUUAAUUGCAUGGGGCGGAAUUCAAGACUUUUACUUUGAGGAAAUUAGAGUGUUCACGGCAAGCUAUCGCUUUGAAUACAUUAGCAUGGAAUAAUAAUAUAGGGCUUAAGUUCUAUUUUGUUGGUUUCUAGGACAUAAGCAAUGAUUAAUAGGGACAAUUGGGGGCAUUCGUAUUAACGCGUCAGAGGUGGAAUUCUUAGAUUGCGUUACGACGAACUACUGCGAAAGCAUUUGCCAAGGAUGUUUUCAUUGAUCAAGAACGAAAGUAUGGGGAUCGAAGACGAUCAGAUACCAU